rnacentral:rRNA from 1 species
UACGUAGGGUGCAAGCGUUGUCCGGAAUUAUUGGGCGUAAAGAGCUUGUAGGCGGUUUGUCGCGUCUGCUGUGAAAUUUCGGGGCUCAACCCCGAACUUGCAGUGGGUACGGGCAGACUAGAGUGUGGUAGGGGAGACUGGAAUUCCUGGUGUAGCGGUGAAAUGCGCAGAUAUCAGGAGGAACACCGAUGGCGAAGGCAGGUCUCUGGGGCCACUACUGACGCUGAGGAGCGAAAGCGUGGGGAGCGAACAGG